GCGUCUGUCCUCUCGCAGUAAACGCAGUGUACAACCUGUACGCCGUGUCCAACCACUCAGGCACCACUAUGGGCGGCCACUACACAGCCUACUGUCGCAAUCCCAACUCGGGAGAAUGGUACACGUUUAACGACUCCAGAGUAACGCCAAUGUCCUCCAGCCAAGUGCGCAGCAGCGACGCCUACGUCCUGUUCUACGAGCUGGCUUCGUCCUCGCGGAUGUGAAGCGUCCUCGAGGACGGGCGGGCCACAGCACCACUCUGACUGACGGACAGAUGGAUGGAGUAAAAGAGUGCUGGUGGAGCCAGGCCUGUUUUUGGACUUGUAUUUGGACGUAUAUAUCACACACACACACACACACACACACACCAGCCUGAAGGCUGCUUCUCUCCGCAGAGAGGGGGACACUCUGGAAACCACAGGAACCUGAUCCACCAGCCCUGCUGUCCUUCUCUCUGUCUUUACUCUCGUGUCUUGCUCUUUCUCGGUGGCGGCGUGUGUUUACCGUGUGUGUGUGUGUGUGUGUGUGUGAGUGUGCGAGGCUGACACAGGGCAAUAAUCCCAUCUGACCGACCAGCCGGUGAAUCUGUCCCUCUCUAUGCACUGCAGACUCUCGUCCUGACCGCGCCUUCGCUUCUUCUUCUUCUUCUUCUUCUUCAUCUUCUCGUUUGCCUCAAACCAUUAAAACUCACAUGUUGCAAUUUUUGACCUUUUUUUUCUGCUUUGAAUUUUUAUUGUUUUUUAUGUUUUUUUGGGGGGGGUGUGGUUUUUGGGGUGGUUACCCCAGCACUACGAGCAUCAUCAUCAUCAGCACCGCUUUGGACUGUGGGUACGUCAUGCUCAGUGACUGUAAGAGGACCGGUCGCGGUUCGGAGGAGCCUUCAGUCCACCGGCCUGCUUGGUGUUCACGGCGUUCCCUUCCUCUCCGACACUCCCGCGUCUCUGUCAGCGUCUCCUUCACUCGCUUUUUUUCUCCUUCGGUGGUUGGGAGGCCGGUGGCACUGUGAGCGUCACAUGUCUCAGAGGACGCCCCUCUAACUUGUGUUUUAUUUAAUUUGUCUCUCCCGCGUGUGGCUGCUACUGAUGUUUUAAAAGUGCUGUGAACGGAUGGAUGGACGGAGCAGUGCGGAUCUGCUAAGGAUUAAUAAUAUAGACGACAAUAACGGUAACAAUCCUCAUCGUCAGCGUGGGGUCUUUUCUUCCUCUCUUGUUUCAAUGCCAUUGAACAACACGGAAAGAAUGUUUUCAAGAAGAAAAUAAAACACUAUAUCUGUAUAUUUUUAUAUCCUGAUGCAAUAUAGAGAAUGUACUAUUCAAUGGUGCUGAAAAUGACCCGUAACUGUUUUCAGUUGGUUUAUUUCCCAGGUUUCAAGAGAGAAAAAAAAGCUAUUAUUUAUGCUUACAGGUGAUAAUGUGAUGAGUCACACUUUUUAACAGUGGCAGUCAAACACAUGAGUAUAUAAAUAUAUAUAUAUAAAUAUAUAUAUAUAUAUGAAUAAAAGUUAACCAAA